rnacentral:rRNA from 1 species
CCCUUAGAUGUCCUGGGCCGCACGCGCGCUACACUGAACGGAUCAGCGCGUUUUCCCUUCCCGAGAGGGACGGGUAACCUGCUGAACCCCGUUCGUGGUAGGGAUCGGGGCUUGCAAUUAUUCCCCGUGAACCAGGAAUGCCCAGUAAGUGCAAGUCAUAAGCUUGCGUUGAUUACGUCCCUGCCCUUUGUACACACCGCCCGUCGCUACUACCGAUUGAACGUUUUAGUGAGGUACUCGGACUGCGCCUCAGAAGAUUCACGUCUUUUGUGCUGCUCGGGAAGAUUCCCAAACUUGAGCGUUUAGAGGAAGUAAAAGUCGUANCA